rnacentral:lncRNA from 1 species
AUAGGGGUAUAAUAAUUUGGAUUAUGCAUCAUAGUUAUGUCCUUUGAAGAUGAGUUAGAUUAUUUGUUGUGAAACAGCUAUGAAAGAUUGGAUGCUUGAGUCUUUUGAUUAACAAUGAUUGAGUUUAUAUUUUUAAGAGAAAAUUAUCAUGAUUCAAGUGUUCUUGGGUUGACAUGAUCGUUGCAUUAGUGAGAUUCUUUUGAAUAAUAUCUUUAAGCUGAGUAUAGAUUUUUUUAAUGAUUUUGCAAAAGUUAAUUCUCAGUUGCUAUUUACUUGAGGACAAGUAAAAGUUUAAGUGUGGGGGUAUUUGAUUGGUCCAAAUUAUGUAUAGAUAUUUAAGAGUAUUUUAAAGCUUUAAUGAUAUAU